rnacentral:rRNA from 1 species
GACGAACGCUGGCGGCGUGCCUAAUACAUGCAAGUAGAACGCUGAAGGAGGAGCUUGCUUCUCUGGAUGAGUUGCGAACGGGUGAGUAACGCGUAGGUAACCUGCCUGGUAGCGGGGGAUAACUAUUGGAAACGAUAGCUAAUACCGCAUAAGAGUAGAUGUUGCAUGACAUUUGCUUAAAAGGUGCAAUUGCGUCACUACCAGAUGGACCUGCGUUGUAUUAGCUAGUUGGUGGGGUAACGGCUCACCAAGGCGACGAUACAUAGCCGACCGGAGAGGGGGGGCGGCCGCACUGGGAGUGAGACACGGCCCAGACGCCCACGGGAAGCAGCAAGAGGGAAACUUCGGCAAUGGGCGGAAGUCUGACCGAGCAACGCCGCGGGAGGGAAGAAGGGUUUCGGGUCGGAAAGCUCUGUUGUAAGGGAAGAACGAGUGUUAUAGUGGAAAGUUCACGCUGUGACGGUAUCUUACCAGAAAGGGACGGCUAACUACGUG